rnacentral:pre_miRNA from 1 species
AAUAAGUAUAAUUUUACAUUGUUCAUGUCCAACGAUCAUCUUAUUUGAAAAUUUUUAUGAUUAGUAUUUUUAUUGUUAUUCGAUGAUAAAACAUGAAUAAUACUUUAUGUGUAACUAAUUUUUUAAUUUUUUUUAUAAAUUUUUGAAAUGAAACGAACGAUAAAACAUUAGACACGGAUACCACGACUGCAUUUAUU